GCAUAAUCAUUUGCCUUCUAAUUAAAGGCUAGUAUGAAAGGAUAAACGUAAUUCUCUCUGUAUCAUUAAUUACCCCCUAAAAAUUAACCUACAGGUGAAGAUGCCUGUAUUAUUAUGAAAGACAAAAAGACCCUAUAGAGUUUCAGUGCUCCCCCCCCCUUAUUAUUACACUUUAGUUGGGGCGACUAAGGGUUUCCAAAACCACCCUGCCAAAUUCAGAAAAAUAAUUCUUAACACAGAUCCAACCACUUGACCUAUAAAAUAAACUACCUUAGGGAUAACAGGCUUAUCUUCCUAAAGAGACCAAAUCAACAGGAAGGUCUGGCACCUCGAUGUUGGCUUAGAGCAACCCAUUAAUGCAAACGUUAAUCUAGUCAGUUUGUUCAACUGUUAAAUCUCU
rnacentral:rRNA from 1 species